GUGUUAUGAUCUCUCUCUCUCUCUCUCUCUCUCUCUCUCUCUCUCUCUCUCUCUCUCUCUUUUACUGGAGACUCCAGAAACCUGACUCUUUAUAAGAUGUAUUCUUUUUUAAAUAGAUAUAGGGAGAGAGAGAAAGAGAGAGAGAUAGAGAGAGAGAGAGAGAGAGAGAGAGAGAGAGGCUUUUU
rnacentral:miRNA from 1 species